AGCGAACGCUGGCGGUAGGCCUAACACAUGCAAGUCGAACGAGUGGCGGACGGGUGAGGAAUACAGCGGACUCUACUCUGUCGUGGGGGUAAACGUAGGGAAACUGACGCUAAAACCGCAUACGAUGGAAUGAGCCGAUGGCGGCUUAGCUAGUUGGCGGGGGAAAGGCCCACCAAGGAGUCGGUCCGUAGCUGGUCUGUGAGGAUGAUCAGCCACACUGUAACUGAGACACGGUCCAGACUCCUACGGGAGGCAGCAGUGGGGAAUAUUGGACAAUUGGCGCAAGCCUGAACCAGCCAUGCCGCGUGGGUGAAGAAGGCCUUCGGGUUGUAAGGCCCUUUUGUUGGGAAAGCGGUACCCAAAGAAUAAGCACCGGCUAACUUCGUGCCAGCAGCCGCGGUAAUAC
rnacentral:rRNA from 1 species